rnacentral:miRNA from 1 species
AGUGGGAGAAACGGGUGUCUGUC